rnacentral:snRNA from 1 species
GUAUUCCAUACGGAAUAUAUAUACUAAAAUUGGAACGAUACAGAGAAGAUUAGCAUGGCCCCUGCGCAAGGAUGACACGCAAAAUCGUGAAGCGUUCCACAUUUUU